GGCAGCAGGAUUGUAGCAAUCCAAUUGCUGGCGAACGGCAAACGGGUGCGGAACACGUACGCAACCUUCCUUUAAGUGGAGGAUAGCUCCGGGAAGACGGGAUUAAUACUCCGUAACAUUAUGAGGAUGGCAUCAUCUUAUGAUUAUAGCUCCGGCGCUUAAAGAUGGGCGUGCGUCUGAUUAGGUAGUUGGCGGGGUAACGGCCCACCAAGCCUACGAUCAGUAACUGGUGUGAGAGCACGACCGAGUCACACGGGCACUGAGACACGGGCCCGACUCCUACGGGAGGCAGCAGUAAGGAAUAUUGGUCAAUGGACGCAAGUCUGAACCAGCCAUGCCGCGUGAAGGAUGAAGGUCCUCUGGAUUGUAAACUUCUUUUAUCUGGGAAGAAACCCAUAAUUUCUAUUGUGGUUGACGGUACCAGAUGAAUAAGCACCGGCUAACUCCGUGCCAUCAGACGCGGUAAUACGGAGGGUGCAAGCGUUAUCCGGAUUCAAUGGGUUUAAAGGGUGCGUAGGCGGGCAGGUAAGUCAGUGGUGAAAUCUCCGGGCUUAA
rnacentral:rRNA from 1 species